rnacentral:tRNA from 1 species
GCGUUGGUGGUUUAGUGGUAAAAUUCAUCGUUGCCAAGAAUUGAGUAUUCUGACUCUCAGGAUCUCAAUAUCAUAGUGUCGAUGAGCCCCGGGUUCGAUUCCCGGCCGACGCA